AGGGCACCACCAGGAGUGGAGCCUGCGGCUUAAUUUGACUCAACACGGGAAAACUCACCCGGCCCGGACACUGGAAGGAUUGACAGAUUGAGAGCUCUUUCUUGAUUCAGUGGGUGGUGGUGCAUGGCCGUUCUUAGUUGGUGGAGUGAUUUGUCUGGUUAAUUCCGAUAACGAACGAGACUCUAGCCUACUAAAUAGAUCGUCGGCUUACAAACGCCGACGAGACUUCUUAGAGGGACAGACGGCGAUUCAGCCGCACGAAACAGAGCAAUAACGGGUCUGUGAUGCCCUUAGAUGUCCGGGGCCGCACGCGCGCUACACUGAAGUGAUCAGCGUGCUUUUUCAACCUACUCUGUCAAGAGUGGGGAACCCAAUGAACCUUCUUCGUGAUUGGGAUAGGGGAUUGUAAUUAUUCCCCUUGAACGAGGAAUUCCCAGUAAGCGCGAGUCAUAAGCUCGCGUUGAUUACGUCCCUGCCCUUUGUACACACCGCCCGUCGCUACUACCGAUUGAAUGUUUU
rnacentral:rRNA from 1 species